GGUUAAGUGACUAAGCGUACACGGUGGAUGCCUGGGCAGUCAGAGGCGAUGAAGGACGUACUAACUUGCGAUAAGCGCAGAUAAGGCAGUAAGAGCCGUUUGAGUCUGCGAUUUCCGAAUGGGGAAACCCAACUGCAUAAGCAGUUACUGUUAACUGAAUCCAUAGGUUAACAGAGCAAACCGGGGGAACUGAAACAUCUAAGUACCCCGAGGAGAAGAAAUCAACCGAGAUUCCGGUAGUAGCGGCGAGCGAACCUGGAUUAGCCCUUAAGCACUCGGUGAAGUAGGUGAACAAGCUGGAAAGCUUGGCGAUACAGGGUGAUAGCCCCGUAACCGACGCUUCAUCGAGCGUGAAAUCGAGUAGGGCGGGACACGUGAUAUCCUGUCUGAAUAUGGGGGGACCAUCCUCCAAGGCUAAAUACUCCUGACUGACCGAUAGUGAACCAGUACCGUGAGGGAAAGGCGAAAAGAACCCCUGUGAGGGGAGUGAAAUAGAACCUGAAACCGUGUACGUACAAGCAGUAGGAGCACCUUCGUGGUGUGACUGCGUACCUUUUGUAUAAUGGGUCAGCGACUUAUAUUCAGUGGCAAGGUUAACCGUAUAGGGGAGCCGUAGCGAAAGCGAGUCUUAACUGGGCGCUCAGUCUCUGGAUAUAGACCCGAAACCGGGUGAUCUAGCCAUGGGCAGGUUGAAGGUUGAGUAACAUCAACUGGAGGACCGAACCGACUAAUGUUGAAAAAUUAGCGGAUGACUUGUGGCUAGGGGUGAAAGGCCAAUCAAACUCGGAGAUAGCUGGUUCUCCCCGAAAGCUAUUUAGGUAGCGCCUCGGACGAAUACUACUGGGGGUAGAGCACUGUUAAGGCUAGGGGGUCAUCCCGACUUACCAACCCUUUGCAAACUCCGAAUACCAGUAAGUACUAUCCGGGAGACACACGGCGGGUGCUAACGUCCGUCGUGGAGAGGGAAACAACCCAGACCGCCAGCUAAGGUCCCAAAGUAUUGCUAAGUGGGAAACGAUGUGGGAAGGCUCAGACAGCUAGGAUGUUGGCUUAGAAGCAGCCAUCAUUUAAAGAAAGCGUAAUAGCUCACUAGUCGAGUCGGCCUGCGCGGAAGAUGUAACGGGGCUAAGCAAUACACCGAAGCUGCGGCAAUGUCUUUUAGACAUUGGGUAGGGGAGCGUUCUGUAAGCCGUUGAAGGUGAAUCGUAAGGUUUGCUGGAGGUAUCAGAAGUGCGAAUGCUGACAUGAGUAACGACAAAGGGGGUGAAAAACCUCCUCGCCGGAAGACCAAGGGUUCCUGUCCAACGUUAAUCGGGGCAGGGUGAGUCGACCCCUAAGGUGAGGCCGAAAGGCGUAAUCGAUGGGAAACGGGUUAAUAUUCCCGUACUUCUGACUAUUGCGAUGGGGGGACGGAGAAGGCUAGGUGGGCCAGGCGACGGUUGUCCUGGUUCAAGUGCGUAGGCUUGAGAGUUAGGUAAAUCCGGCUCUCUUUAAGGCUGAGACACGACGUCGAGCUGCUACGGCAGUGAAGUCAUUGAUGCCAUGCUUCCAGGAAAAGCCUCUAAGCUUCAGAUAGUCAGGAAUCGUACCCCAAACCGACACAGGUGGUCGGGUAGAGAAUACCAAGGCGCUUGAGAGAACUCGGGUGAAGGAACUAGGCAAAAUGGUACCGUAACUUCGGGAGAAGGUACGCUCUUGAUGGUGAAGUCCCUCGCGGAUGGAGCUGACGAGAGUCGCAGAUACCAGGUGGCUGCAACUGUUUAUUAAAAACACAGCACUGUGCAAAAUCGCAAGAUGACGUAUACGGUGUGACGCCUGCCCGGUGCCGGAAGGUUAAUUGAUGGGGUUAGCGCAAGCGAAGCUCUUGAUCGAAGCCCCGGUAAACGGCGGCCGUAACUAUAACGGUCCUAAGGUAGCGAAAUUCCUUGUCGGGUAAGUUCCGACCUGCACGAAUGGCGUAAUGAUGGCCACGCUGUCUCCACCCGAGACUCAGUGAAAUUGAAAUCGCUGUGAAGAUGCAGUGUACCCGCGGCUAGACGGAAAGACCCCGUGAACCUUUACUACAGCUUGGCACUGAACAUUGAACCUACAUGUGUAGGAUAGGUGGGAGGCUAUGAAGACGUGACGCCAGUUGCGUUGGAGCCGUCCUUGAAAUACCACCCUUGUAUGUUUGAUGUUCUAACUUAGCCCCAUUAUCUGGGGUGAGGACAGUGCCUGGUGGGUAGUUUGACUGGGGCGGUCUCCUCCCAAAGAGUAACGGAGGAGCACGAAGGUGGGCUAAUCACGGUUGGACAUCGUGAGGUUAGUGCAAUGGCAUAAGCCCGCUUAACUGCGAGAAUGACGGUUCGAGCAGGUGCGAAAGCAGGUCAUAGUGAUCCGGUGGUUCUGUAUGGAAGGGCCAUCGCUCAACGGAUAAAAGGUACUCCGGGGAUAACAGGCUGAUACCGCCCAAGAGUUCAUAUCGACGGCGGUGUUUGGCACCUCGAUGUCGGCUCAUCACAUCCUGGGGCUGAAGUCGGUCCCAAGGGUAUGGCUGUUCGCCAUUUAAAGUGGUACGCGAGCUGGGUUUAGAACGUCGUGAGACAGUUCGGUCCCUAUCUGCCGUGGGCGUUGGAAGAUUGAAGGGGGCUGCUCCUAGUACGAGAGGACCGGAGUGGACGAACCUCUGGUGUUCGGGUUGUGUCGCCAGACGCAUUGCCCGGUAGCUAAGUUCGGAAUUGAUAAGCGCUGAAAGCAUCUAAGCGCGAAGCGAGCCCUGAGAUGAGUCUUCCCUGACGGUUUA
rnacentral:rRNA from 1 species